GGGAAGGAUGAGAAGCUUCGACUAAGGUUCGAUUCGAGCGCAGCGAGAAAGCGUUGCCGUAGGCAACGACCCGAAGGGCGAAGCGCGCAGCGCUGAGUCAUCCUUCCCCCACCACCA
rnacentral:sRNA from 2 species